CCACGCGGAGGUCAAUUCCCGCAUUGUGACCGGGGCCAAGAUCGCUUCCACGUGGGCCCUUGAGUUGCACUUGGCUGUGGCGUGGCCAGACCUUUCUCCUCAUCCUCCCCGGCAGGCAGGAACAGGCAGAUUGGAAAGUGACAGCGCAGUGACAUUAGAAGCAUCUUCGUGGGACGUCGAGCCCCUGACUUAGGAUCCCUUGACACUAGUUCUGUCGUCGCUCGAAUCAAGGAGCUCUGUAAUGAUUGGCCAGCAUGUUUGUAAGCAAGCUACUAUUCUUUGGUAUUCCUUGAUGAAGACUGAUCAGCCAAACCCUUCCCACCAACUCUAACCCCAUAUAUCCAAUUGACUGCUACACUU